rnacentral:rRNA from 1 species
GAUGAAAGCUGGCGGCGUGCCUAACACAUGCAAGUCGAUCUGUAACGCGGGGGCAACCCUGGCGACGAGAGGCGGACGGGUGAGGAACGCCUUGGAAUCUGCCUAUCAGCGGGGGACAACACGGGGAAACUCGCGCUAAUACCGCAUACGCUCUACGGAGGAAAGCCGGGGACCGCAAGGCUUGGCACUGAUAGAUGAGCCCAAGCCGGAUUAGCUAGUUGGCGGGGUAACGGCCCACCAAGGCGACGACCCGUCGCUGGUCUGAGAGGACGAUAGGCAACACUGGAGCGGCGACACGGUCCGGUGUCCUACGGGAGGAAGCAGUGGGGAAUAUUGGACAAUCGGGGAAACCCUGGUCCAGCGACGCCGCGUGGGUGAAGAAGGCCUGCGGGUUGUAAAGCCCAUUCGGUAGGGACGAAAGCUCUCGACCUAAUACGUCGGGAGGUUGACUUAACCUACAGAAGAAGCACCGGCUAACUCUGUGCCAGCCGCCGCAGUAA